rnacentral:rRNA from 1 species
UAGGGAAUCUUCCACAAUGGACGCAAGUCUGAUGGAGCAACGCCGCGUGAGUGAAGAAGGGUUUCGGCUCGUAAAGCUCUGUUGUUAAAGAAGAACGUGGGUAAGAGUAACUGUUUACCCAGUGACGGUAUCUAACCAGAAAGCCACGGCUAACUACGUGCCGAG